UAGUGAUUAACGCGAAGAACCUUACCCAGGCUUGAACUGCAGAGGACACUCUACGAAAGUAGACUUCCGCAAGGACCUCUGUAGAGGUGCUGCAUGGCUGUCGUCAGCUCGUGUCGUGAGAUGUUGGGUUAAGUCCCGCAACGAGCGCAACCCUUGUCUUCUGUUGCCAUCAGGUUAAGCUGGGCACUCUGAAGAGACUGCCGGUGACAAACCGGAGGAAGGUGGGGAUGACGUCAAGUCAGCAUGGCCUUUAUGUCUGGGGCCACACACGUGCUACAAUGGCAGGUACAAACCGUCGCGAGACCGCAAGGUGGAGCUAAUCGGAUAAAGCCUGUCUCAGUUCGGAUCGUCGGCUGCAACUCGCCGGCAUGAAGUUGGAAUCGCUAGUAAUCGCGGAUCAGCACGCCGCGGUGAAUACGUUCCCGGGCCUUGUCACACCGAAUCGAAUUC
rnacentral:rRNA from 1 species